ensembl:lncRNA
UACUACUACCCAGGUAAAGACUAGACACACCUCACCACCACCACUACUACUACUACUUCUACUGCCCAGGUAAAGACUAGAACACACCUCACCACCACCACUACUACCACCACCACCACCACUACUACUACUACUUCUACUGCCCAGGUAAAGACUAUAACACACCUCAGCACCACUACUACUACUAUUACUACUACUACUAUUACUUCUGCACAGGUAAAGACUAGAACACACCUCACUACUACUACUACUACUACUACUACCCAGGUAAAGACUAUAACACACCUCACUACCACUACUACUACUACUACUACUACUACUACUACUACUACCCAGGUAAAGACUAUAACACACCUCACCACCACUACUACUACUACUACUAC